rnacentral:misc_RNA from 1 species
GGAAUCUGAGGCUUAUGGAUGGGCAGCAGAACUCUAUCUGGUCAACUAAUAUUUCUAGACAAUCGAAUGGUUCAGUUGCUGUACUUUCAGAUGACGGAAAAUUCAUUUUGAGGAGCAGUAUAACAGGAGAGGACCUAUGGGAAAGCUCUCAGCAUCCUACCGAAUCUCUCCUGCCCGGUACAUGGUUGGCCUACAAUGAGACA